UAUGAUGCAUGUGCUAAGAUUAAAGCUCUUGAGAAAUCUGAUUUAAUUGCUAAAUCUAAAGUUUCUUAAUGCACAGAGUGUCCUGAACUUAGUUGUUCUUUGCAAAAUAUUGAGGAUGAAAAUCACUACUUGUGCACAAUUCUUAUUUGGGUGUCAAGUAGGGAACUUCAGUUGGGUAUGAUGAUUCAGGAGUUUAAAAGGGCUGAUGGUUUUGGGCUUGGGAAUCUUAUCAAGCAGUGUAGAUUUGAUGGGUUGUAUAAAAAGAUUUUUGAUGGGUUAAAUGAGAAGGUUGGUCAAUACAGUGGUCAGAGAGGGAAACAAGCAACGUCCACCCCUAGUGAGCCAUCUAAGCUGAGUGAAGAGCAACCAAGUGCAAAAUGUUAGAAAAAUCUCUCUGAGUGUGUUCCAUAUGGAGUGUUCAUUGAGACACCAUCCAAAGUCCCAAAGAAAGCCAUAUGGGUGGAAAAAACCAAAUUACCUCAAGAACAAGCUUGACACACUCCUUGAUAUGGCUCCAAAGCGUCCCCCACCAAAAUCCAAAUCCAAGCCACAACCUAGUGUGAAUCCUC
rnacentral:lncRNA from 1 species